AAGUGUUAUUUCUUUUCGGGGCCCAUCUACCCUGGCCACGACAUGAUGUUUGUCUGCAACAAUUGUAAGGUGUUCAGAUUUUGUAAAUCUAAAUGUCAUAAAAACUUUAAAAAGAAGUGCAAUCCUCGCAAAGUUAGGUGGACCAAAGCAUUCCAGAAAGCAGCAGGUGAAGAGCUUACAGUGGAUCAUUCAUUUGAAUUUGAAAAACAUAGAAAUGAACCUAUCACAUACCAGUGAGAGCUAUGGAAGAAAACUAUUGAUGCAAUGAAGACGGUUGAAGAGAUCAAACAGAAACACCAAGCUAAAUGUAUAAUGAACAGAUUGAAGAAGAAUAAAGAGCUACAGAAAGUUCAGGACAUCAAAUAAGUCAAGCAAAACAUACAGCUUAUCUGAGCCCCUCUUGCAGGCAAAGGGAAGCAGUUGGAAGAGAAAAUGGUACAGCAGUUACAAGAGGAUGUGGACAUGAAGAUGC
rnacentral:lncRNA from 10 species